AGAAUCAACGCUGGCGGCGUGCCUAACACAUGCAAGUCGCACGAGAAAGGGACUUCGGUCCUGAGUACAGUGGCGCACGGGUGAGUAACACGUGAAUAAUCUACCUCCGAGUGGGGAAUAACUGAGAGAAAUCUUAGCUAAUACCGCAUAACACUUACGAGUCAAAGCAGCAAUGCGCUUGGAGAGGAGUUCGCGGCAGAUUAGUUAGUUGGCGGGGUAAUGGCCCACCAAGACGAUGAUCUGUAUCCGGCCUGAGAGGGCGCACGGACACACUGGAACUGAAACACGGUCCAGACUCCUACGGGAGGCAGCAGUGGGGAAUUUUGCGCAAUGGGGGAAACCCUGACGCAGCAACGCCGCGUGGAGGAUGAAAUAUCUUGGUAUGUAAACUCCUUUCGAUGGGGAAGAUAAUGACGGUACCCAUAGAAGAAGCCCCGGCUAACUUCGCGCCAGCAGCCGCGGUAA
rnacentral:rRNA from 1 species